UACGAAGGGGGCUAGCGUUGCUCGGAAUCACUGGGCGUAAAGCGCACGUAGGCGGAUCUUUAAGUCAGGGGUGAAAUCCUGGAGCUCAACUCCAGAACUGCCUUUGAUACUGGGGAUCUCGAGUCCGGGAGAGGUGAGUGGAACUCCGAGUGUAGAGGUGAAAUUCGUAGAUAUUCGGAAGAACACCAGUGGCGAAGGCGGACUCACUGGCCCGGUACUGACGCUGAGGUGCGAAAGCGUGGGGAGCAAACAGG
rnacentral:rRNA from 1 species